rnacentral:lncRNA from 1 species
CCUUUAGCCUUAGAGCAAGAACCUAGAAGCCUUAAACUCAUAUCUUAGACCAACAAAACAAUUAGAAACCCACUUUGGAAGGGAGUUUACGGCCAAGAUGCUCCUUAGGCCGUAAACUCCAAGAUUUAGGGCCAAAACCCCUUCAAACUCUUCCUAGGGCUUAGUCUUCAUUUUUAGCAAGCACCUUAAUGGGUUUAGGACCUAGAAAAAUCAUGAAAAGCUCAAGUGUUGAAGAGUUUACGGCCAAGAGUAUUUCUUGGGCCGUAAACUCCUUUAAAGGGGUCAAAGGACACCCUAGACACUUCCUUAGGCCAAGAGACUUUUAGGGCAAGUACCUAGAUGAGUUUUGGGCUAGUUAAAAUUCUUAGAACCUCAUGUGUGAGGGAGUUUACGGCCCAAAGAGUUCUAUGGCCGUAAACUCCAUCAAAUGGUUCCAUUUAAUGCCAUAAACCUCCCUUGAUCCAAGUAUUGAAGCCUAGACUUGUUCCUAGAAAUGUUAGAGACUUGAAAGGACAAUAAGAACCCUCCCAAGGGAGUUUACGGCCGUAAACUCCAAGGGAAAAGGGUCUUUGGGCCGUAAACUCCCCAAAGGAGUCAAUGUGGUGCCCAAACACUUGUAUAGCCUUGAAACAAUUCCCCUCUAAGGUUGUAGUACUUCUAAACUCCAUUUCAUGACUUGUUUGAGAGUUUACGGCCAGGAGCUUACUCCCCUGGGCCGUAAACUCUAAUGAAUAUGGUCUUUUGACCUUAAACUUUCAUUAGGGGCAUUGCACUUCUUUGUUGCAACCCAUUAGCCUCCUAGCACUUGACCAAAAGUGUUGUCCUCGCGCUUAAAUGUUAUUACUUGUAUAAUUAGUGUUAUAAUCACUAAUUAUUUAUAUACAUAUGUUUCAUAUGUAAUUAGGAUCAUUGUGUGUGUCUAAGUCUUCACUUGACACCAAGCACUUGUCUGAUCCUUCCGUACGAUAACAGCCCGUUCAAUUCCAGUCACAUACUGCAGGUGAGUUCAUACCCCUUAACUGUGACAACCCGAAAUUUUCCAUUCAAAUCAAACCACAUCAAUCCAAUGGAAGUAGAGCAGUUUCAGUGAAAAUUCAAACUUUUGGAAUAAGUUUGGCAGUUUUAGGGUUUUACACCUAAGGAGUUAUUAGGAGAGUGGGUGCACUAGGAUUUUGUGCAACACUGUAAUUCCAUUACUCUAGGUCAUUAGAAUCCAUUCCGAGAAUAGAAAUAUUUUCUGCCAAAAAUCUCUGGACUAUAAAUAGAAUUCUGAACCAAAUUGGUUCAUUAUUUGAUUUCCAUUUAGAGAAAAGCCAAAUACUCUCUCACGGAUCUUCGGGUUUUCAUCCCAGAUUGUGAGUCUACUUCCCUAAAUGUGUUUUAAUACUUGUUAUAUGCUUUAUAACAUUGUUUACAUGUCCAAAACACAAGAUCCGGGAGUUUACCGCCCAAGAACGUUCUUGGGGAGUAAACUCCAAAAUCAAGCCUAAAGGCCACCUAGUCCCAUUUCCGUGUUAGGCAUCUAACUAAGGACUUAGUGUAUGAUCAUUAGAGGCUAGAAACAAAUCAAAAGCAAGUAGUUUGAGGAGUUUACGGCCAAGGAACAACCUCUUGGGCCGUAAACUCCAAGUAAAGGGCACAAAUGAGUGCCUAGUGUUCCUUUAGCCUUAGAACAAGAACCUAGAAGCCUUAAACUCAUGAUUUAGACCCACAAAACAAUUAGAAACCAACUUUGGAAGGGAGUUUACGGCCAAGAUGCUCCUUAGGCCGUAAACUCCAAGAUUAAGUGCCAAAACCACUUCAAACUCUUCCUAAGGCUUAGUCUUCAUUUUUGGCUAGUACCUUAAUGUGUUUAGGACCUAGAAAAAUCAUGAAAAGCUCAAGUGUUGAAGAGUUUACGGCCAAGAGUAUUUCUUGGGCCGUAAACUCCUUUAAAGGGGUCAAAGGACACCCUAGACACUUCCUUAGGCCAAGAGACUUUUAGGGCAAGUA